GAGUUUGAUCAUGGCUCAGGACGAACGCUGGCGGCGUGCCUAAUACAUGCAAGUCGAGCGGAUCUUCAUUAGCUUGCUUUUGAAGAUCAGCGGCAGACGGGUGAGUAACACGUGGGCAACCUGCCUGUAAGACUGGGAUAACUUCGGGAAACCGGAGCUAAUACCGGAUAAUCCUUUUCCUCUCAUGAGGAAAAGCUGAAAGACGGUUUCGGCUGUCACUUACAGAUGGGCCCGCGGCGCAUUAGCUAGUUGGUGAGGUAACGGCUCACCAAGGCGACGAUGCGUAGCCGACCUGAGAGGGUGAUCGGCCACACUGGGACUGAGACACGGCCCAGACUCCUACGGGAGGCAGCAGUAGGGAAUCUUCCGCAAUGGACGAAAAGUCUGACGGAGCAACGCCGCGUGAGCGAUGAAGGCCUG
rnacentral:rRNA from 1 species